AAGGCCUUAACAGUCUUUGAGAAAUGUAUAAUUAUGAUCCUGUGUGGUUUUGUCCUUUGCUCCUUCCGGUGCUAGUGAGAUUUCUCUUUCUUGUCCUCUUCUUCCUUUUGUUCUCUUACGCUGCCUGCUCUCUGCCCAGGUCUAGGCUGAGAGGAGAGAACCUGGUCCACCUGAGGCUCUCCUGGGCUGAAGAGGGAUGCUGUCUUGCUGAAACAAACAUGUGAGAGAACAUGUGAUAUUUUGCUGGAGCUGACACUGGAGAAGAUCAAGACAUAGAACCCUCAGCUUCGCCUCCAGCAUCCUGUCUGCUUACCUGCUGUCACGCUUCCCACUAUGAUGACAAUGGACUGAACCUCUGAAACUGUGAGCCAGCCCCAAUUAAAUGUUUUUUCUUUAUAAGAGUUGCUUUGGUCAUGGUGUGUCUUCCUAGCAAUAAAACCCAAACUAAGACACACAUCAAGUACUGUACUGAC